GUUAAAAAGCUCGUAGUUGGAUUUCUGUUGAGGACGACCGGUCCAUACCAUGUAUGCGCAUCUGGCUCGGCCUCGGCAUCCUCUCGAUGGACGUUUCUGCGCUUGAUUGCGUGGUGCGGACUUCGGGACUUUUACUUUGAGGAAAUUGGAGUGUUCACGGCAGGCCUUCGCCAGAACAUAUUAGCAUGGAAUAAUACUAUAGGAUCUUGGUUCUAUUUUGUUGGUUUCUAGAACUGAGGUAAUGAUUAAUAGGGACAAUUGGGGGCAUUCGUAUCAACGCGUCAGAGGUGGAAUUCUUGGAUUGCGUUGCGACGAACUACUGCGAAAGCAUUUGCCAAGGAUGUUUUCAUUGAUCAAGAACGAAAGUAAGGGGAUCGAAGACGAUUAGAUACCGUCGUAGUCUUUACUAUAAACUAUGCCAACUAGAGAUGGGACAUCGUUCACUUACGACUUGUUCCGCACCUUAUGAGAUAUCAAAGUCUUUGGGUUCCGGGGGGAGUAUGGUCGCAAGUCUGAAACUUAAAGGAAUUGACGGAAGGGCACCACCAGGAGUGGAGCCUGCGGCUUAAUUUGACUCAACACGGGGAAACUCACCAGGUCCAGACAUAAUAAGGAUUGACAGAUUGAUAGCUCUUUCUUGAUUUUAUGGGUGGUGGUGCAUGGCCGUUCUUAGUUCGUGGAGUGAUUUGUCUGCUUAAUUGCGUUAGCGAACGAGACCUUAACCUGCUAAAUAGGAGCGCAUAUCUUCGGAUAAGCGCCUUUCUUCUUAGAGGGACUUUAUGCGUUUCAGCAUGAGGAAGUUUGAGGCUAAAACAGGUCUGUGAUGCCCUUCGAUGUUCUGGGCUGCACGCGCGCUACACUGAUGCGUUCAACGAGUGUACAACCUUGCCCGAUAGGGUUGGGUAACCUUUUGAACACGCAUCGUGAUGGGGAUAGAUUAUUGCAAUUAUUAAUCUUCAACGA
rnacentral:rRNA from 1 species